AAAAUAAUCCUACCCUUUGUGAAUUUUGUUUGUUUGAAUAAUUUUUUUUUUUAAAAAAUUAUUGGAGUCUUUCCCUUUAGAGUUUGCUUUUGAGUUUGUAAAGAAUUCGAAAACAUCUAAAGGGGAUGGUCAAUAAUUUUUUUGAAAAAAGACAUUUUUUAAAAUUAAACUUUUUGUAUUCAUUUGUCUAAAAAUUAUUUUUAUAAUAUAAAAACAACUUUUGACAAUGGAUCUCUUGGUUCUCGCAACGAUGAAGAACGCAGCAAAAUGCGAUAAGUAGUGUGAAUUGCAGAAUACGUGAAUCAUCGAAUCUUUGAACGCAUAUUGCACUUUUUUAGUUUACUAAAAAAGUAUGUCUGUUUGAGUAUCAGUAAAAUAUUCUCAUAAAAAUCAUUGUGUAUUUUUAUGGUUAUGAGUGUUUUACAACGAUACAAGUUGUUUCACUUUAAAUUUUUUUUUAAUAUUGAAAUUUUUCUAAUUUUAAUAAUUAAAAUUGGAUAAAAUUUUCCCGUCAAAAGGAAUAACCUAAACAAUUUUAAAUGAUUAAUUUUAGCAAAAUUUUCGUAAAAAGGAAAAUUUUUAUUAAAAUAACUUGAUCUCAAAUCAGAUAAGAGUACCCGCUGAACUUAAGCAUAUCAAUAAGCGGAGGAAAAGAAACUAACAAGGAUUCCCUUAGUAACGGCGAGUGAAGCGGGAAGAGCUCAAAUUUGAAAUCUUCAAGGUUUUACCUUGACGAAUUGUAGUUUAAAGAAGUGUUUCUGCUGAAGUUUUGGUAAAAGUUCUUUGGAAUAGGACAUCAUAGAGGGUGAGAAUCCGUAUUUGACCAUUAUUUACAGCUUUGUGAUACACUUUCAAAGAGUCGGAUUGUUUGGGAAUGCAGUCCAAAAUGGGUGGUAAAUUUCAUCUAAAGCUAAAUAUUGGCGAGAGACCGAUAGCGAACAAGUACCGUGAGGAAAGAUGAAAAGAACUUUGAAAAGAGAGUUAAACAGUACGUGAAAUUGUCAAAAGGGAAGCGUUUGACACCAGUGUUGUUUUCUCGAAAAUCAAUUAAAAAUGGCUCGAUUUUGUAUUGCUGAGACCUUAAAAGCUCACUGUACAUUUUUCGUGUCUUUUUUAAUGCACUUUUCGUUUAACAAGUCAACAUCAGUUUCUUUUGUUGUAAAAGGGUCAUUGGAAGGUAGCUUUCUUUUCGGAGAAAGUGUAUAUAGCCUUUGGCCUCUGCAAUCGGAGAGACUGAGGUCUGCAGCGUAGACUCUUCGGGUUAGAUACAUUUGUGCUAAGUUAUAGCUUUUUAUAGACAACUUGUUGACUAUAAUUAGUCUUGUAGCUUGCUCGCUUAUGCUAUUU
rnacentral:misc_RNA from 1 species